UACAGAGGUCUCAAGCGUUUGUUCGGAUUCAUUGGGCGUAAAGGGUGCGUAGGCGGCGCGGUAAGUCGGGUGUGAAAUCUUGGAGCUUAACUCCGAAACUGCAUUCGAUACUGCCGUGCUUGAGGACUGGAGAGGAGACUGGAAUUUACGGUGUAGCAGUGAAAUGCGUAGAGAUCGUAAGGAAGACCAGUGGCGAAGGCGAGUUCUGGACGGUAACUGAC
rnacentral:rRNA from 1 species